rnacentral:lncRNA from 1 species
AAACUCUAUAUAUAUAUAUAUAUAUAUAUAUAUAUAUAUAUAUAUAUAUGUUGAGCUAUGAUACUUUUAUAAGUAUCACCAUCAUGGUAUUAUUAGAUUUUAAGUCAUUGAAUCUAUUUUUUGAUUAUUAAUAGCUCUUAGAUUAAACACUCUUCCACCUACCGUCACCUACCACCAUCAUCUCAACCUCAAAUCUCUCCAUCCAAGGACUAAAAACACACAAGUAUCACCCCCAUGAUACUUUUAUAAGUAUUCUAGCCCUACUCAUAUAUAUAUAUAUAUAUAUAUAUAUAUAUAUAUCCAUUCUAUGAUUUCUAUCUCAAAAUUAUUAAUAUUUUAUUUAUUAUAUUAAUUUUUUUAUUCUUAUUAGAAAAUAUUUAUAUUUUUAUCUGCAACACUGGAAUAGAAUAAGAAUGCCUGAUCUAUUUUCCUUUUUAGGCAUACUUGUUCAGCGCACGUGCAAAUAUACGCAACAAUUAUUUUAAUAGUUAUCUAAAUUAAUAUAAAUUUUUGUAUCAUAUUUACCAAAAAUUUAUAAUCAACAAUAAAAAUUUAAAAUUUUAAAAAGUAAAUUCAUCUGUAAUAUUUUAGUAAAAAAUAAUUGUUAUAUUCUAAAUCAAAUUAAAUAGUUAUUGGCCACACUAAUUAUAUAGUUCUCUAAAAUUUAAGUUUAAAUAGUGAAUUAAAUUUAAUUUUAGAUAUCAAAUCUGGUUUAACAAUUAACAAAUUUUAAUUAAGGUUGGUUAAAUUAAAUUUUAAAAUUUAAAUAAACGUAAAUUAAUUUUGAUACUUUUAGUUUGAAAUGCGUGCGAGGAAUAUUCUACGGUAGAUAUCCUCCGAUCGGUAAAAGUUUGAAUAAAGAUAAUUUUUUCAGCUUCCUCAAGUAGAUUGCAAUAUUUUUUUUGCUAAAUAAUUAUUCUGUCAAUAAUUAAUUUAAUAGUUAUCUUAAAGCAAUACAAAUUUUUGUACCAUAUUUAUCCAAUAAUUUACAAUAAAAAAAUUAAUUCUUUUAAAAAAUAAAUUUAUUUGUUAAAUUUUAUUUAAAAUAUCUAUCAUAUUUUAAUUCAAAUUCAAAUAAUUGUUGCCGGCUAUAAUUAUAUAGUUCUUUUUUUUUAAUAUAUGCAUUGAAUAUUUUCUAUAUUUUUGAAUUUUAACGAAUCCAAAAUUUAAGUAUAUGUUUUGCACUAAAAGUACAAAAAUUUUAAUUUACGUUUAUAUCAAAACAAAGUUUAAUCUUCAUCCACUAUAUUAAAAAUUUAAAAUUUUUUAAUUAUCAAUUCAAACUUAAUAUCCAAAAUUAUAUUUAAUUCACAAUUUAAACUCAAAUUUUAAUUUUAAUUUAAAAAUCAUUACUUUAAUUCUAAAUUAUAUAUUUAAAAUAUAACUCUAAAUUUCAGAUGAAAUAAAUAUUUAAAAUCAAAUAAUAUUUAAAUUAUAUAUACACACUUGAAAUUAAAUUUAAAUUUGAUUAUUGUUGCAAUCAAUCAAAAGUUAUAUAAAACUAAAUAUUAGUAGAUAGAAUUGAGAUAAUCUUAAAUAUUCACCACAAAAGAAAAAGAUGUUGAAUGAUAUAAAAAUAUUUAAUUACACAAUAUAAUUAUUCGUUAGAGAAAAAAAAGUAAUUAAAUAUUUAUUUCUUUUCAUAUCUAUUCCCACUUUUUUCUAUUCUUAUUCUUAUAUUUCUUUUCUUAUCUUUAUAUUUUUAAAAAUAUAUCUGUCGGCAAACUGAAAUUUGAAAUAUGUGUUUUUAUACAUAGUAAAUAUAGAUAAGAAGUAUUUUCCUUUCUAAGGUGUGAUGUAUCAGCGCAUGUAUGCUAAAAUAUUUUUAGCAAUGCAUAUUUGUAAUUUGGGUAUAUUAUAUAUGUUUGUUAGGAUGUUAAUAUCUUAUGAAAAUUAGAGUAUUACACGGUAAAGAUAAAAACGCAUAAUUUUUUUGAAUUACGGUUCAUUUUAAAUAAGAUUAUUUAAAUUUUAAAAAUUUUAGUUUUGAUUUUAAAAUUUAAUCUAAUUAGUUGUUUUAAUAAAUUUGCAGUUACGAAAAUUGCAUGAAGUAAGCUAACUAAAUUUGUAAAAGUAAAUAAUAUAUUUAAAUUUUAAAGUAAAAAUAUGGUUGUUUUAUUCAAAUAAAAAAAACUAAAAAAAUAAAUGAUAAAAUUAAAAAUUUUAAAAAAUUAAUAGUCAAAUCGAAAUGAUUCAGAGUUCAUACAUGUUUGUUUGGGUGGAAGUAGGGUGGACGUGGAGAGGAGAGAAGUCGUUUUCGUCCUAAAGGGUGUGUUUGGUUACCCUGAAAAAAAAUUUUCGGGCUUGAAAGUUGCUUUUCCAGCGUUUCGUUUGAUGUAAAAAAAUUUUGCCAAAAAAAUCAUUUUACGGAGUCUACGUAAAAGCAAGCUUUUCGUUUUCCACCAAAUCGCGGCGGAAAACGAAAACUCACAGUGAAAAAUCGCGGCUCAGGAUCGGCGUCCACGAGCUCAUCCAAGAGCUCGUGGACCAUGUGAGUGGUUCACACCGACUCCACACACACAUAUAUAUAUAUAUAUAUAUAUAGAGUUGGACUGAGCUAUUAUUAGUAGUAAAAUUCCAUUGUUGCUACCAGUUUUUAGCCUUUGGAUCAAUAUAUUAAUCCGACCUUAUGAUAAUUAUCAUUUUGCGAGAAAAAUGAUAGUUCAAAAAUUGGGAACCUACUUUUUAACAUCCCAGUCCUACUAUAAUCAGUCAAUCUUAACUCACCAGGGGGAUCCCAACUCACCAGGGGUGACCUAAUAUCAUAAAUUAGGUUACCAAUCUUUAUUACUUUUCUCANUCUCUCUCUCUCUCUCUCUCUCUCUAUAUAUAUAUAUAUAUAUAUAUAUAUAUAUAUAUAUAUAUAUAUAACUAGGCUGGAAUACUAUCAAUAGUACCAAGCUAUUAGUGCCAUUAGUUUUUUAGCUCUUGGAUUGAGAAAUGUACGGUUAGGAUGAUGUGGGCCCCGUAGGGUUGAGUGUGUGGUUGGUUGAAUAAUAUAAUCUAACGGAAAAAAUUAAUCAAAUGGAUUAAUCUAACGGCAGAAAACUUGAUAGCACCAAGUGCUUGGUGCUAUCGAUAGCAUAGCAGCCGAUAGCACGGUAUAUCUAGGCUGCUAUACUAUCGAUAGCACGGACACCUCCGUGCUACCAAGUUGUUUUCAAUGAUGCCGCUUCCAAAUCGACGAUCGGCUCCGUUAGGCUUGAUCUACAUUAUUGAAAGUAUUUGGAAACUAAAUUUCAUAAUUUUUUAGUAUUAUUUAGCUAUCAAACGAGUAGUCUAAAAAUAAACGGCUGAAAAUAAAAACCUCAUAAAAAAUAAUGAUAUAGGACUUGAAUUUAAGAUCAGAGGUAUUGAUCAUACUCUAAAUAGUAAAAAAAUUUUCUAUAAAAAUUUCAUUUGAUUUGGAUUGUUUUACGCCGUUAAAUUUACAAAUGCAUCAUAUCUACCAUUAAAAUUGUCAAUUUUGAGACCUUUUGAUCACUAGCCAAAUGAUGUCGAAAAAUUUUGAAAUUUAGUUUCCAAAUACUUUCAAUAGUGUAGAUCAAAUCUAACGGAGCUGAUCGUCGAUUUGGAAGCCGCAUCAUCGAAAACAACUUGGUAGUACAGAAGCCACCGUGCUACCGAUAGUAUAGCAGCCGGACUAUAUAUAUAUAUAUAGAACUAGGCUACUAUACUACCGGUAGCACGGAGCGCUCCGUGCUACCAAGUUGUUUUCGAUGAUGCAGCUUCCAAAUUGACGAUCGGCUCCGUUAGACUUGAUCUACACUAUUGAAAGUAUUUAGAAACUAAAUUUCAUAAUUUUUUAAUCUCAUUUACCUAUCAAACAAAUAGUCUAAAAUUGAACGGCUGAAAAUAAAAAUCUCAUAAAAAAUGAUGAUAAAAGAUUUAAAUUCAAGAUCAGAUAUACUGAUCUUACUCUAACUAGUGAAAGGAAUUUUCUAUAAAAUUUUCAUUGCAUUUGGAUUGUUUUACACCAUUAAACUCACAAACACACCACAUCGGCCAUUAAAAUUGUCAAUUUUGAGAUCUUUUGAUCACUAGUCAAAUGAUGUAAAAAAAAUUUGAAAUUUAGCUUCCAAAUACUUUCAAUAGUGUAGAUCAAAUCUAACAGAGCUAUUCGUCGAUUUGGAAGCCGCAUCAUCGAAAACAACUUGGUAGCACGGAGCGCUCCGUGCUGCCGAUAGCAUAGUAGCCGGACUAUAUAUAUAUAUAGAGCUAGGCUAAUAUACUAUUAAUAUAUUAUAUAUAAUAUAUAUAUAUAAUAUAUAUAUAUAUGAAAAUUUAUUUAUAAAUUUAUUUUAUAGUAUUAAAUAUAUAUAUACUAUUAUAUUAUAUUAUAUUAUAUACUUAUUGUACAAUAUAUUUUAAAUAUAUUUUAUUUACAAAUAUAAAUUAUAAUAUUAGCAAUAUAUGAUAAUUAUUACAUAUUAAUAAUAUAUAAUAUAUAAAAUAAAUAAAUAUAUAAAUAUAUAUAUAUAUAUAAUAUAAUAUAAUAAUAAUAAUAAUAAUAAUUUUUUAUUUAUAAUUAACUUUUUCCUUCUUUUCCUUUCAACUAAACAACCGUAACGGAAAAUUACCUUUUUUUUCCUACAAACCAAACGCUAAGAGCGUAAAAUUUAUUUUCCUCCGAAAAUUUUUUUUUCACAGUUUUACGUCAAACCAAACAACCCCUAAACGACCACUUCCAUUGUUUGGUUCGCCGUAAAAAAGUUACAGUCGAAACUCGAGUUAACCUUAAACGGCGUAAUUGACUUCGCCCCAUUGUUGGCCAAAGUCAAUUACGGUGAAAGAGGCGAAAACAAAUAAUAAAAUUAUAUAAUAGGUAAAGCUAGUUAUAUUUAAAUAUAUUUAAUUAUGUUACUAAUUAUUUUUUUAUUCAAUUAAUAUAUCUAAAAUAUGAUAAAAAUUAUUUAGUUAAGUUUUAAUAUUUUCUUUAUUUAGUUUGUAAGUUUUGAAAUAUGAUAAAAAUUGAUUAAUUAAGUAUUAAUUUUUUUUUACUUUAUAAUUUUAUUAUUGUAUUACUAUAAUUUAUGUUUAAAAAAAUAAUUUAGUUGUUUUAAAUUAAAUUUUAAUUAUAUAAAAAAUAUAAUUAUAUUAUUUUUAUUAUAAAAUAUUUGUUAUUUAUAUAUAAAUUAUAGUUUUAUAUUAUACAGUUCUUAUCAAACAAACAGCAGAACUGAUGGAACUUCACAUCCAUAACUACGAAACAAACAGCGGGAAAGAAGUAGUUUUCACCGAACUCCAGUUCAACCCAAUGUCCGCUUCAACCAAAGUCCAGUUUCAGUGAAACAAACAUGCAGUGUUCCAUCUUUUUACCUAUAUAAAAAUAGAAAUUGAAUGCUAAAUUGUUUUGAUUGAAACUUAAGUUUCAAAAGUGACGUGUUAUUUUAUUCUAUAUAAUUUUGAGAGAAAACUUGCAUAUUAUCUGCUAAUUUAUUUUUACUUAUAAACGAAUUUAGAUGUUAAUGAAUGACGCAAAUAGCGUGCUGCCUUUCUCUCAAAAAAUAAAAAUAAAAAUAAAAAUGUUAAACAACUAGAUUUCAAACUUACAUACUAGACAUUAAUUUUUUUGCGAUUUGCACCGGACAUGAUCGGUGUGUCGAAAAUAAUAUAUAUAUUUUUUUUAGCAGAACAUAUCCAUAAUAAUAGUCUUAACAUAGAUGAUAAAUAAUUCAUAAUUCAUGGUGACGUCCUUUUUCUGUGUCUCCGUUUUGGAAGGGAUAAUUGGGUGCAGCAUUAUGUAGAGUAAUAAUCAUGGGAGGAAGUAAAGGCGGCGUGGUUUGUGUGGAUUCGGGUGCGCCGCCACUGAUCGAUCCGAAAUCGAGCAGCUCUCGCCCCGGAACCAAACCCGAUCCAACUAGCAAAGCCGCAAUCAUUCCCUUUACAUCAUGCCGAUGAUUUGCAUUGUGUACUCGAUUUUGUGGAUCUUAACUCAAUCUCUUUCGUUUCUUUCUUUGACAUGAGAGCAUCCUAUCAUAAUAUGUAUUUUUUAUGAAAAUUAACUACCCCUCAUUGCUCCCAUUAAUUACAUCAUACGCUUCUCCUCUUCUAUAAAUAGCCACCAUGGAGGCUACGUAGAACAAUACACGAGAUUAUGGGUCGGUUUCGUUUAAUUCUGCAAUCCUUUUCUCUACUAUUACCACUACUACUACUGGUGGUUUUGUCCCUUGGGGUGGAAGGAAUUCGUCUUGGUAUAUAUUUGGAACGAAUUAAACUCUUUUAAUCUCUUAAUCAUGUUUACGGGCUUUUAUGACACUGUUUAGUUUAAUCAUGAACAGGUUGCAGCGGUGGUAUUGGGUGUUUAAAUUACGACACUGCUCCUUCAGUGAGUUUGGAUCGAGAGGUUUUGUUGUAGUUCUUGUGGGGAUAUUUUUGAUGUAGGAUAUAUUUGCAAAUGUGGUUAAUUUUAUGAGAUUAAAUUAAGUUUGGGUUUCAGGUUAAUUAUGAAUACGGUGCAUCAAAGGAGGCCGUGAUGAGGGGUUUUUACAGGGAGGGGGUGGUCGGAACGGCGACGGCGACGGCGGUGGCGGAGGAGCUGAGGUGGGUCCCGUCGGGGCCGGACCCACUGCACCACAACGGUAGCCCCAAAAAGCCCCAGACGCCUUGACGCGUGUCGGGUCCGGAUUGGCUGGAGCUGUGACUGGAAAGGCCGUGGAGGUGGAAGCAGGAAAUAUAUAUCCAAAUUAUAAGCAACUUUUUGUGUAGUAAAUCAGUGGCACAAUGUGCGUGAUACAAGUAACAAGUGUGCUGCUGCUGCUACUUAAUUAAUUAAGUUCGUUUUUUUUUUUUUUUUUUUUUUCCCUUCUUUUGGGUUCUUCUUUUUUGGUUACUACUGAAGAAGAAGUAUAUAUGGGUAGUUUUGGGGAAUUAAGAUGUGGGCUUGCUUUUUCUUUAGGAGUGUGUGUAUAUAUGAAAAAUAUUUGUUUUCGCGUGGUAAUACCGCUGUGUGUAUAUAUAUAUAUAUAUAUAUGUUUUGAAUUCUACACUAGUCUCUAAUGCAUGUACAUACUACAUACUAGAUACUACAUACUAUCGAACGAAUAUAUAUAUAGCUGCUGCCUUGUCGAUCUCACACCAUAUAUGAUAUAUCGACGCGACGCCCCAUGGGAAUAAUUAGAGAUAUCCGGCCGGCUCUGGCAGUCUGGCUUAAGUUCAGGGAGAGCUAGGGUACUGCGUUAAUUAAGUAAAUAAUAAUAAUAAUAAUAAUAAUAAGAGUACGAGUAAACCGAUCGAGAGCAUGGCGGUCCGGGCGUACGGCGCGUUGCUGGACGGCAUCUUGGCGGCGCGCGACGCGGGGGCGCUCCGGCGCGCCCACGGGAGGCUGGUGGCGGUGGGGCUCGCCCCGCACCCCUUCCUCCGCUGCAAGCUCCUCUCCGCCUACGCCGCCUGCUCCCGCCCCGCCGAGGCCCACCUCCUCCUCUCCUUCCUCUCUUCCUCCCACCGCCGCCCCCCUCUCUUCGCCCUCAACUCCCUCCUCCGCUCCUCCCCCUCCGCCUCCGCCUCCCUCCGCCUCUUCCGCCGCAUGCUCCUCCUCGGCCCCGGCCCCGACGCCCGCUCCUUCGCCGCCGCGCUCUCCUCCGCCGCCCCCUCCCUCCGCCUCGCCCGCCUCCUCCACGCCGCCGCCCUCGUCGCCGGCCUCCUCCGCGACCCCGUCCUCCCCCCCUCCCUCAUCUCCGCCUACUCCCGCGGCGGCGACCUCGCCUCCGCCCGCCGCGUGCUCGACGAAACGCCGCAGAGGGGCCGCACCCUCGCCGCGUGGACGGCCAUGAUCGCCGCGUGCGGGGCCCACGGGCGGGCGGCGGAGGCGGUGGAGAUCUUCGAGCGGGAGGCCGCGGGGGGCGGCGACGCGGCGGCGGCGACGGCGGUGCUGGCGGCGUGCGCGCGGGCGGGGAUGGUUGCGGCGGCGCGGAGGGUGUUCGCGCGGUUGGGGAGGCCCGCGCUGCAGCACUACACGUGCAUGGUGGAUGUGCUGGGGAGGGCGGGGCUCGUGGAGGAGGCGGAGGCGCUGAUCGCCGGGAUGGAGACCGAGCCCGACGACGCGCUCUGGGCGACGCUGCUCGGCGCCUGCAGGAUGCACGCUCGCCUCGACGUCGCCGAGCGCGUCGCCAACCGAGUCUACGGGCUCAAGCUCGCCUGAUUCUUCCUCCUUUUCCUUUUGUUUAUUCCUCUCUUUUUUCUUUAAACCGUGAUGCGUACUAAACCAUGAUUCUUCGCCAAGUUUCUUCCAGUUGUUGAUGUAUUAACAUUUAUUAGCCAAAAGAUUUCAAAAUCAAAAUUUCUCUCGUUUUCAUGCACAGUAUAAUAAUUUAAUUUCGUUCAUUAUUAUACGACUAUGGUUUUCAAUAAAUGUAGUGAUACAUUAUAUAGGAUAUUUAGUAAUUUAGAUCAAAUUAUGAUUUAGUCUAUUUAAUCACAGCUAUUUUAAUUGGGUUUAUUAAGAAUUCCUCAAAAAAGUUUCUGAGUUUUUUUUUUCUUUUUCCCCUCAAUCUUGUGUGAUAAUAAAUUACUCGAUUUUACAGGCCCAGGCUCGAGUCUGGGCCUUAACGCAACGGCCUUACAACACAAGCGGCCGCAAUUGCACCUGUUUGGCACCGUAACCAUGAGCCUGGGCCUUAGCCUGAUGGGUCCAGUAAAAAAUGAGAUUUUAAACCGACUUUAAUAUUGUAUCUUUUAUUUGAAAAAAUUAAAUUACUCUUGUAAAAACCCUUCUACACCGGAACCCUUGCAAACCUUCGCCUCAUCUCUCUUCGCCACCAUGAUAUGAUCGAUAAUCCAUGUUGAUUCUUACACAGCAUGAUUUUCUCUCUUCUCUCUCUUUUGAUUCUUACACUUCACUCUUCUUCUUUUCCUUUACCUUUUUUUUUCCAUCUAAAUUUUAAUUUGUAACCACAAGGAGAUCACAUUGAGCUUCAUCGCCAGCGCCAUGGAUACCGCCUCGAUCACUUCGAGCGCAAGCGGAAGGAGAAGGCGCGUCAAGUCCAUGAAAGAUCCAAUUUUCCCCAAAAGGUUCCCUUUUUCAUUUUCUCUUUUUUUUAAUUAAUCUUAGAACUUUGAUUUGCGAAUAAACGAUACGCAGAGAAGGCUACGAUGAAGAAGACGUAAGUCUCUAAGUGCUAAAAAAAUUUGGCUACUCUUUUAAUCCCUGGAAAAUUAUAUGAAAUUGGUUGCUAAAACAUAAAGAAUGUAUCUUAUUUUCGGUUUAUCGAAUCAUGGUAAAGCUAGCAGUUUUAGUCCAAAUUAAAACUUAAAUAACUAGCAGAACAUAGUCUUGGGAAUAUCUGACACUAGGAUUGGGUGGAACUGCUUAAACUACAAGAGCACGGGCAAAAGAAAACGUGGAGGAUAAUAUAGGAAGUUUCCUUUUUUGAAUAGACUUUUUUUUUUUGGGAGUAGCUGGAUUUGUUGUCUUAAUUUUCUAACUAGUGAUAAUAAUAAUAAAAAAAUCUCUCGAGUACGUCUUCUUUGCUUUGUUUUCAUUGUUAGUGUGUGAAAUCACUUGGUUAGCCUAGUUGAAUCACAUCUGCUGUUCAUUUCCUUGAUGAGUAAAUGUAUCGGCUCCCUGUUUAUAGCUUAAUUUAUUUGCUCUGCUCCCCGAGAAAAAAAGGAAAAGAAUAGAAAGGCUAUGCUUUUUAAAGUUUCAAUAUGCUAAUAUGUGGAAUCUUAUGAUCAUUUGAGAAUACUAACAAACUAGUUGGAUAUGUUAAUAUGUCUACUCUUUGUUAACUGCUCUUUGUUGGUUGAAUGAUAAGUAAGUACCUCGUUCUUGUAAUUUAUCUUAGCUUAAUUUUUACAGCUUCAUGGUUUUAUCCUGGGAUCUUCUAUUCAUUGGGUAUUGCUGUCUUAUAUAUGAGAACUUGGGUCGAGUUUGUUUGUGAAACUCUGCAAUUUUGACAUAAUUUGUACUUCUGUAGGCUCAUCAUGCAUGAAGAAUCUUCUUCUAGGAGAAAAGUUGAUGAUAAGGUUCUAGUAGGAGCUGUUCAUGCGCAUCUCCUUAGAUCGUGAUGUUACCACGCGCGCGAAGGUAAAUUGGUCCUCCUAGGUUAUUACAUUGAGUUGUCUUUCUUGUUAAAAUAAAUGCAUCUUAUUAUACCUUUCGUCUUGCUUAAAAAUGUUCUCAGCAACAGUGUUAAACAGAAGAGGAAAGAGAAGGCCGGAAAAUGGGAAGUCCCUUUGCCACAGGUGAGUUUAUAAUCAAUUCUUCAUAUGCAUUGUUUAUUUUUCUCUGUAGAAAAAUGAGUAGUCCGAGUAUUAUACCUUAUCACACAACUACUUAUCCGGUGCAGGUUAGGGCUGUUGCCGAAGAAGAGAAUGUUUAAAGUUGUCCACUCUGGCAAACGGAAAAGUUAACUUUUCUCAUCUUCUCUGUUCUCCAUCUUAUGAUACUUUUUAUUCAUCUUACUCAAUUAUUUAUAUUUUUCAUCUUGUUCGACUUGUUGGUGUGUUCGGCCAAGCAGUCGAAGAGAAUGCUAACCAAAGCCACAUUCGUCGGCCCGGGCUUUACGAGAAAACCACAGAAAUAUGAACGCUUCAGCCGCCCUACGAGAUUAAGGUUCUUCACUAAAGCCCAUGUGACGCAUCCGGAACUGAAAUGUACUUCCAAUUUAGAUAUCAUCGGCAUUAAGAAGAAUCCUAAGCCUUUGUUUGGUUGGGGGUUAAGGGAUUAUCCCCAAACACCCUCAAAAAUUGGUGGGGGUUAUCAAAUGGGCUAUCCCGGAUUAGCUAAUUCCAUCUAACCCGACCAAACUCCAACCAAAUACUAUUUUCUAUUCGUAAUAACCCACCCCUUCUUAUCCACCUACUCCAAUCAAAUACUAUUUUUCACUAUUCUGAACUAACUUCAACCCGCAACCAAACACAAAAAUACUCUAACCCCAUCUUAACCCUGAACUUAACCUUAUCCUUGGAAUAACUAGUUUUUCCUUAACCCCAAACCAAACGGUAGCUAAAGGUUCUACCUACACUUGUCCAGGUGUUAUCACCAAAGGAACAAUAAUUGAGGUAAAAUUGUAAAAAUCUACCUCCUCAACGAUUCUCUUUAAUCAAUAAUUUCGUUUUAUUUAUAUAUAAAUACAUAGAAUUAAAGAGUGUUGUAAUCUCUUCUAUUACAUUCUAGUUACUUUUUUUAUUGGGGAGGUUGUGUGGGGUGAGUUAAUAAGCUGCACUAUAUCAAUUCGAUCCUUCCUCUUCCUUUCCAGUAAUAUAAAUUACUUAAUUUUCCUUCGUUUUAUUAUGCAGGUAAAUAUGCUCAGGUAACUAAUGAUCCUGAGUAGGACGGAUGUAUCAAUGCAAUUCACCUUGUCUGAUCACUGUAAUAUGUCAGUCUUAGUGCCGAUGCUACUGGGUGUUUUUAAGUCUCAAUCAACUAAGUUGAGAUUAGUUGAUUCACAUUUUCAGCUAAGUUUAUUUCUAAAUGAACCAAACGAAGCGGGUAACGUGUUACCUAUCUCUCUCAAAAAAAAAAAAGAAGAAGUCUCAAUCGACGGCAUUCUCAGAUAAGAGUUGAAGAAUGGAUACGUAUGAAAUCAACGUAAAAUUGAUUCGUAUGAAGUUAACGUAAAAUUGAAUUCUAUACCUCUCUUUGUAGGCCUAUCCUUUCCGUCUUUUAUGCAAUUCUUAAUAUUUUGUACCCAUGUUAUAUUACAGAACUACUAUUUAAUUUUUAAACUUAGUAUUAAAAAUAUUAUUUCAUUUACGAAGAUAAUUUUUAUGAUUAUCAUAAUUUUUAACAAUAUAUAUUUUUAAUGUCAUUAAACACGUAACAUGCACCAAGUCUCGUCGCAAACAAGUCCAAAAAAGCAGGCCUCUUUGUUCGAUCGGUAUGUAUGACGUAUCCACCGGGAUGUUGAGUGGAGUCCAUUUCGCAUACAAAAGUACAAAUCGAGCAGCGUGGGUUGGUACGCAUGAUGGGUUCGAUCAACGUCUAACAUCGACACUUCAUUUAAUUAAUAUUUUUUUAAUUAACUGAAAUUAUCAUUAUCAAUGAACUUCGAUUGGACAGAGUUUCUAGAGAAUCCGCUGCCCAAUUAGGCAGUUUGGAAUCUUUUAAAUACUUAUUAAUCAACCUAAGCUUAAAGUUGGAUAUUCUUGAAAAAGUAGAGCGCUAUAUUACAGUGUGUGUAUAUAUAUAUAUAUAUAUAUAUAUAUAUAUAUAUUUAGAAAAAGUAGCAUGUGAUCUGUCUAUAGGGAUGUCAACGGGUCGGGUUUGGGUCGGAUUUUUAAAAAUUCAAAUCCGAACCCGAAAAUCAAAUUAAAACCCGUAUCCGGACCCGAAUCCGACGGGUUUUAAAAAUUCAUACCCAUAUCCGUACCUGAGCAAAAACCCGAAACCCGAACCCGGACUCGAACCUGGCGGAUUUUAAAAAUCCAUACCGUUUGAAUGAAGAUCUAAGAGAUAAAAAUUAUUAAAUAUUUUAUAUAUUAUAUAAAUAAAUAAAAAUAAAUUUAUGUAUAUAUAUAUAUAUAUAUAUAAUUUAUUCGGGUUCGGGUCGUGUUCGGGUUCGGGUUCGGAUCGGAUAAGUACAAAAUCCAUACCCGUAUCCAUAUCCGUCAGGUUUUUAUUUUCUAUACCCAUAACCAAAUCCAUACCUGUUUAGCUCGGGUAAACCUGUCCCGUUCGGGUUCGGGUUCGAAUAAUAUUUCGGGUAUUCAUACUUAUUGACAUCUUUACUUGUUUCGUUUAUUUUUUUUAGAAAUAAAUUUAGAUAAAAAUGUAAAUCAACUAGAAUUCAAACUUGAAAUUUCGGAUACCAACCACCAAGUCUUUUUUACUUCAUUUAUUUUCUUUAGAAAUAAAUUUAGAUGAAAAUAUGAAUCAAUUAGGAUUCGAAUUUAGAACAUCGGAUAUCAACAACCAAGUCUUUUGCCACUUACGCAAGAGAUGGUCGAUUGUUGCUGCAGCACUUAAAUAUGUUUCUCGUGCCUUAAUAAGUAAACAUACUUAUUAAGUACAAUUAAUGGAUUAGUCUCGACCGAUUAAUUAGUGAAUUGAUUUUUCAAACUUUAUUUAUAGAUAGUUAAUUGUGUUGGAAGAAUCUUUUAGACAGUUCAGAAAGUAUCACCAAUAUUUUGGUAAUACUUUAAAACAGGUGAAUUAAUUUGGACACGCCGCAUAUGAUUUCUAAUGACUUUAAUAUAAUUUAGCCGUAAAAACAAUUAGCCAAAAUUUGGAUCAAUCGGGCGAUUUGUUUUUAAAAGAAAAUUGUACGAAUUUUUCAUAUUUAAAAUUUAAAGAACAUAUAAAUGGAUUUUGAAUGUAGAACCGGUCUAGUUCGGAUCAACAAACACGCACCAAUCACCUCCACGGACUCGGGCCGUCGAACGUCCCUCGACCGCAGGAUAUUCCCCCCCGCCCUUCGAGAAUAUUCUACAAAAAAAAGAUCACCUGUUCAUCAUACACCCACCAACCACAACUGGCCACGUCAUCAUCUCGCGUUCCGUCUCCGCCACGUCAGCAAACCCCGCCCUGCUAAAAUCUCCUCGUGGACCCUGUACAGUUUCACGAUAAAAAUGGACCUCGCUGCUUCUCCUCCUCUCCUCUUUCCCCUCGUCGCUUCCGUGGUGUAUUCUCUCUUGCGCGCUCCACACGAUCGCAUCCCCUAAUAGAGAGCGCGAGAACACGGAGAAGAAAACCGAGUACCCUAACCCUAGAUUAGCCAUGAUCAACCUCGGCAUGGACACGAGGCCCUCGGCGGCGAGCUCCGGCACGGCGGAGAAGGCCUUCUCCUUCUUCUCCAAGGGGUGGCGCGACGUCCGCGACUCCGCCGACGCCGACCUCCGCCUGAUGCGGGCCCGCGCCGACUCCUUGAAGAACCUCGCCGACCGCGAGCUCGAGAACUUCCUCCACUCGGCGUCGGCGUUCUCGGCCCCGGCGCGCCCCGCGGCGGAGGGGUCGAUCGUCGAGCUCGAGUUCGUGAAGCGGAUCCAGCCGAAGCUCUCCGAAAUACGGCGCGCGUACUCGUCGCCGGAUUUCAGCCGGAAGGUGCUCGAGAGGUGGAGCCCCAAAUCGACGAUACGGGUCGAUCUCUCGGCCAUAAAGAAAGCGAUUGUGGCGGAGGUGGAUGAGGUGGGAGGCGCGCUGGAUUUGGGGAAGGAAAGGUUUCGGGGGCAGAGGAAGGUUCUGUGGAAGGAUCGAGAGCGGGAGGAGGAAGAGGAGGGCAAGGAGUGGGAGCCGAUCCGUAUGUUAAAGACUGGGUUAAAGGAGUUCGAGAGGAAGAGCCAGCCGAAUGAGAUCUUUGGGAAUUUCAAGAGCAACGAAUUUGUUGAGAAAAUUAAAAUGAGCUUGGUAAUGCCCCUUCCUCUAUCCUCUUUGUUUUCUUUAUGUCGCUCUAGGGUUUUCAUGGCUAGAUUCUUAGUACGUACAGUAUGUUAAAUAUUUUAUUUCGGGGCUUCUAUGUUGUUCAUUGUGAAAUUAAUUAAGGAUAAAUAUGAUGGAUGAUUUUUACAGCGAUAGAUAGAAUUAUCAAGCUUGUAGCAUACAAAGAUUAUUCCGUGAUGAGAUUGGCAUUUGUAUUCUAUUGCAAAACAAUUGAUCAGUAGAAUAGGAUAUCAGCUACUCAUGGACAUCACUUAUCGUAUUCCCAUAAUUCCAAUUAAAUUAAGUCUGGAUGCAUUGUUCGGCAGGGACUAGUAGUCCUGUAUUCUUUAGAAAUUUUUCUUUAAUCAUCAAUCUUUGAACUUUGGACAUCAAUUCUUGAACUUUAUUUCAAGAUUUUUCAUGGCAAACAGUCCAUAGGGUAACGACAUUCCGUAGCUUCAGUCUGUGCUGGUCAUCAUGCUCUAAGAAUGAUAGUUUGUGACUAUUUGGUCCCUUCUUUAGAUGUGUCAUUUCCGCAAAUAACGCAAAUGGACUAACUGCAGGGAAACAUACAAUUACAUGUCAGAACGUUUUACUCCCUUGCUCAUUCAGGACUUAAACUAUGUUCUCUUAAAUAGCUCUAGCUUUUCUAUUUUUCUGAGAUUUUUUUGUUUGAUUGUCCUUUGACUAUUUUAUUCUUCUUAUUUCAAGAACAUGCCCACAUACUAGCAAAUUGAUAUUGACUCUCAAAGUUACUUCUCCUGAGGUUUAGUUUUGUGUUUUUAGUUUGCUAAAUUGCUCAUCCAAGUAUUAGUGGAAUACUUGUAUUUUUGUUUGUCUAGGUAUGAUAUGUUUAUGUGUAUCACCAUUAUUUUUCUACUUGCAGUUAAUGAUAACACAAUCUAUUGUUUUAUCAACCCCACAUGCAGAGUAAAUGCAUGGAUUAAUUUAUACAUCCUCAUAUGUUUAACUUUAUUCUUAUCCCGUGUUUCUCUUCUUGCAUAUAUAUAUAUAUAUAUAUAUAUAUAUAUAUAUAUAUAUAUAUAUAUCUUAACUCAGAGUCGCCAUACUUAUAUCUGUUUUUGGUUUCUUUGCAGAAGUCAAUGUGCAAAGAGCCUGAACAAUCCAAGGUUUGUCACAUUAUUAUCUUCAUUUUGAUACUUUCAUUUAAUAAUGUACUACUUUUAUUCGAUAAUGAUUCAAGAGCAAAUGCAUUUUGUUGAUUCAUACAGGAAGUUCCGCCUUUGGAUAUACCUGAGCUUUUGGCAUAUCUUGUUAAACAAUCUGGACCAUUGUUUGAUCAGUUUGGCAUCAAAAGAGGUAUGAAACCAAAACUUUGUUUACUCAGUCUAACUUGUGACUUGUUAAUAUACAGGAUGUUUAUGCAUAUCAUUGUGUGUUUUUUUAAAAUUUUAUUUUUUUUAAUAAUAUUUCUUCAGACCUAGCAUUCUCUUUUGUUUUUUUUGUUUUUUUUUUUUUUUGACUUUUAAAGAUACCACAUCUUUUACCUAGAAACAUAUCUUCUGGGUGUAGACAUUUGCGACAAAAUAGUGGAGGCCCUAUGCAGUAAACACAAAGACCACCUUCUAUAUAAUCCUGUUAGUCAAAAUGGAACAUCCUUAUGUGGAAAUGAGACUAUAAGCGACGAACUUGACCUACGAAUAGCUAGUGUGCUGCAAAGUACUGGCCAUCACUGUGAUGAGGGAGGGCUUUGGAGUAAUGCUGUAAAGCAUGAUAGGACAGAUCAUAAGCGCCAUGUUGCAAUUUUUACAACUGCUAGUCUUCCCUGGAUGACUGGAACUGCUGUAAAUCCACUUUUUCGAGCUGCAUAUUUGGCUAAAUCAGCUAAGCAGGACGUAACGUUGGUGGUCCCUUGGCUUUGUAAGUCAGACCAACAACUGGUUUAUCCCAACAACAUGGCUUUCAGCUCUCCAGGGGAGCAGGAGGCCUAUAUACGGAAUUGGCUGGAGGAAAGAAUCGGCUUUAAGGCAGAUUUCAAGAUCUCUUUUUAUCCUGGAAAGGUAGUCAUUUAUUUAGUGCAUUAUGAUCCAUUUUAUAAUUCUUAUUAGUCUUCAAUAUGCUUUAACAGUUUCUUAUUUACUCUCUUGAAUGAUAGUUCUCAAAAGAACGGCGAAGCAUUAUUCCUGCUGGUGACACUUCACAGUUCAUCUCCUCGAAGGAAGCUGACAUUGCCAUAUUGGAGGAACCAGAGCACCUAAACUGGUACCACCAUGGAAAGCGGUGGACCGACAAGUUUGAUCACGUGGUAGGUGUUGUUCAUACGAAUUACUUGGAGUACAUCAAGCGGGAGAAGAAUGGUGCUAUACAAGCUUUUUUUGUCAAACAUAUCAACAAUUUGGUCGCCCGUGCAUACUGCCAUAAGGUAUCAAAUUUGAACCUUCUGCUUUCGUAAUUUAAUAUAGUCACGUGGCUUGUAAAGAAGUCCGUAUGUUCUUCUUUGUUGGGAAGGUGGCAUUUCCUGGUGAAUCAUUUGCUUGUGGAUCUUUUGUUGACCUGAGGGUCUGAUUGGCCUGGCUGGAACUUCUGAAUGCCUUUUGAGUGCAGCUGUUCGAAAAAAUAGUAGCUUGUAGCUUAAAUUCUCGUCAACAGCUUCCUGGUGCAGAAGAAGCAGAAACUUCAAACUGAAGUUUCUGGUUUGCCGGCCUUAUGCUUGUUUCAGCUCUCAUUCCCAGCAAAAGCUUCAAAAUUUUUAUUCCAAACACCUGGUUGCUGCUUCUUGGAACAGAGCAGUUCCAAUCGCUAGGCCAACCUUUGAUCGAUAUCCUGUAUCUUUAACUAGUUAAUGAUGGGCUGUCCUGCAGGUAUUGCGUCUUUCUGCAGCAACUCAGGAUCUACCGAAGUCCGUCAUUUGCAAUGUGCAUGGUGUGAAUCCCAGAUUUCUUGAGGUUGGAGUGAGAAUGGCAGCUGAAAGGGAGCGAGGGCAACAUGCAUUCUCCAAAGGGGCAUACUUCCUGGGGAAGAUGGUGUGGGCCAAAGGUUACAGAGAACUGAUAGAUUUGUUAGCUAAACACAAGAGUGACUUGGAAGGCUUCAAGUUGGAUGUCUUUGGAAACGGUGAGGAUUCAUAUGAAGUUCAAUCAGCAGCUAAGAAGUUGGACCUUAAUCUUAACUUCCUAAGAGGAAGGGACCAUGCAGAUGAUUCACUUCAUGGGUAAGUAUUUCAUGAAAACUAAAAACUUACAAGGGAUCUUUUUGUUUCUUACAUAUCCUUGAAAAUAUGUGAAAAAUUGCAUAAAUUAGAUCUGCAAAGUUGGGUUUGCAUGCAUGUACCUCAGAACCGAAACCUUAUCAGUGAUCAAGCCCCUGCCUGGGCUAAAUGGAAAAAUUGUUUAUGCCUAUACAUCAGCAGAGGGGCUGCAUUUAGAGUAGACAAGCAUUUGUGCCUAUUGCAGUUUUGCAUAUAUUAUUAUAUGUGUUUGAAAAGAAAAAGACCCCUUCAUUAGGCCUCAUUGUUUUGUUCUGACUUCUAUAUUGAUUGUGGAAUGUGGAAUGCACUUAUGUGAUCUUUCCUUGUCUUCUCAGGUACAAGGUUUUCAUCAAUCCAAGUGUUAGCGAUGUCCUAUGCACUGCAACAGCAGAGGCUCUUGCAAUGGGGAAGUUCGUUAUCUGUGCCGACCACCCGUCAAAUGAUUUCUUCCGGGAUUUCCCGAACUGCUUGACGUACAAAACAUCGGAAGAUUUUGUUGCCAGAGUUAAAGAGGCGAUGGCCAGUGAGCCUCAACCCCUCACCCCUGAGGAGAGAUAUAACUUAUCAUGGGAGGCUGCAACCCAAAGAUUCAUGGAGUAUUCGGAACUCAACAAGGUUUUGAGUAAUGAGAGCAAUGAGCAUGGAGAAAGUAGUAAAACAAUCAGUAAGAUGAAAAAGUCGGUUUCCUUGCCAAAUUUGAAUGAUAUGGUGGAUGGAGGGUUGGCAUUUGCUCAUUACUGUCUAACAGGCAAUGAAAUUCUAAGGUUGUCUACAGGAGCAAUACCCGGUACACGUGAUUAUGAUAAGCAACAUUGUAGGGAUUUGCACCUCUUGCCUCCUCAGGUACAGAAUCCUGUGUAUGGCUGGUAAUGUAUAGUAUAUUGUAACCUUAGCCCUCAUUGUAGCAACAUUGUCUCUUCAUUGUAACCUUGCACCUCUUGCCUCCUCAUUGUAGCAACAUUGUCUCUCUCUAUAUCUUGUGGUGUAUAGUAUAUUGUAACCUUAGCCCUGCGCUUUUCCCCUAGUCGUAAACAUGUACAAUGAGCCCACAUCCCCAUCCACUGAACUUAGUAAUAUCGUAAGAUCGGAGAGAUUCCUAUUGAACUUUUUUUUUUCCUUCCUUUCUUUGGGUGGGCAGGGUUUCGUAUUGUAUGUUAUUCUUUAAGCACGCGAAUAUAAAUACAGACAAAUGAAUGGGGAUAUGUACUGAAUAUUGGAGAUUCAAUGAGAGUAAUCCAUUUGACGAGGUGAAGAUUCAAAAGCGAAGAUUAUGCCGGUGUGAGCAUCAGCUCGGCGUAGAUCCUAUGCAACUGCACAUGUUAGAAGGACAAGGUAUUUAUAUGUCAGACCAUUCAUUUAUAGAUAGAUCAAGGAUCGACAUUAGAGAAUCGAAAGCUAGUGUAAAAAAUGUAUAUCGUCUAAUUGGGUCGAUGCUGCUUAUUCUAUUUCAUAGCUUCAACAAUUCUCUUGUUUCUCUUUUGUUGGUAAGAGAUGCGUCUGGCAAUGUGGCGUAUGUAAAUAAUCAGCUUCAUAUAAUUGUAUAGUGUUUUGCUCUGGCAAAAAAGAAAUAGACAAAAUACAACUAUUGUAAAACCUCAUACGUAUUGUAAUUUUAGCAGAAGCUUGUCGGAUCGUCAUACUUGUCUUAGAGCCUUCUAGGUCUGCAAUGACCUUUUGGAUCGAAUUUGGAUCUUCGAUCGAAGAUCCUGUCGGAAUCUCUAUCCUUGAUCAUCAUGUAGAUGGAAAUCCGUGGGAAGAAAUCUUUAUUUAUUUAUUUAUUUAUUUAUUUUUUUAUGUACAAAGUCGGAGAGAAAGGAGUUCAUAAUUAUAAAUUAUCAGGAUUUUAUUGGAUUCUUUAAAAUAUUCUGAUUUUUACAUAAAGAUAAAGAUAAAAAUAAAUAUUCUGAUUUUUACAUAAAGAUAAAGAUAAAAAUAAAUAUUCUGAUUUUCACAUAAAGAUAAAGAUAAUAAUAUUUGUUAAGAUAUGGGGAGAUGCGUUUUAUAACUAAUAAAAAAUAUAUAAUUUAUUCUUAUUUUUAUCUUAUUAGGAUAAAUAAAAAUUCACAUUUUAUAUGGAUAGAGGUAAAAUAGAAAUGUGUUAUGUGCGGUGAGAUAAUAUGAUAAAAAACAUAUCCUGUUUCUGUAAAUUACAUUAGUCGGCACGAUAUAUUUUGUACAAUUCCAUAAGAAAUUAGAAAAACUAUAUUUCUAUAUAUAUUUUUUUUCCCUGAGCUGACGACCUUUUUGUUUAUAAGCAUUAAUUAGUAUGCGUUUCACACUUUCACUACAAAAUCGAUCCUUCUUCGUCGAAUACAGUUUGUGGCUACAGUUUCCCGUUGACAAAUAUUGCUGUUAGGUCGGUUUCGGAUGCUCGAAGUGUUCGAACCCAAUUCAAUCGUUCCCAACAACUCUUGAAUCUAUCGUGCUCGAUGGCCUCAAUCUCUCUCAAAUCCAACACCGAAUACCACAGGUGCAAGAUGGGUCAUUUUUCACAAUAGAACGCACGCACGUACUUGCUGCUACGUGCAGAGGAAAUUAAGCUUUUGGUUUAAUUCUCUGGCACUGCUUCUGGGGAGGGUUAAUUAGUGGGUUACUAUAUAAUUAAUUCGUUAGAAGAAAUUAAGGUGUUCUCUAAUAAGUCCAUCAUGCGUGCAUGGUUUAGUUACAUUCCUCUGCAUCAAUCAACAAAUAGUUCAACGCACUGACGCAACAUGCACACACUAGCUACAACACCCUGGUGGUGGCUCCUUCGCGUGGAGAUAUUCCUGGAGAUAUUCUCUCACCAUCUUAAUUACCACAGAGACAGUACAAAAGGACACGAAAAAUACAAGGAACAAAUUAAGUCAUCGAUCCUCAAAAGCCAAUUCAAACUAUAUAUAUAUCUUCCCACCCUAAACAGGAAACAGCACCGCCACUUCCUAACCUAUUCUUUUCCGUGCGCGCAUGCAUGCAUGCAUGCCCAAAAACCCAUCUACCAUCUUUCAAAACUUAGUCAUUAGCUUUAGAUACUUGGCAUAUUAUGAUACCAGUUUAAACGAUAAAUUUUUGAAUAAACUUCAAUUUACUGUCCUAUAAAUAGUUUAUUUUAUUUUUACUUUAUUAUUUUAUAUAUGGUUUAAAAUGUUAUACUUAUCUACUCUACAAUUCUUUUUUUUUGUUUGUUUUACCAUGAGUAUGUAGGAAGUGUCAAACAAAAAGAUAACAUGCAUGGCAAAUUUUGCAAACCAUAAAAGAGUAAAUUAAGUGCAUAUUAAUUAUAAAAUUGUAAACUGCUGCAUCACAUUAAUGUUGUUUUGUAAAAAAUAUUACUUUAUUAUUUUGUUUAAUAAUUUAUUUUAGAAUUUCGUUUGAACCACAGCCCGCUAAUUGAAGUUUACUCUUUCUUUCUUCGUUAAAUCACUUCCAUGUGAAUGAUUAAUUUUCUCCUUGUAAAACUCUCAUUUUCUGGGUAUAGUGUUGUUAAAGAUCUUGGUACACUUUACAAAAAGACAAGGGGAACAUCCGUGAUGAGAGGUGGUGUUGAUUAUAUACAGCAAAAGGUUGAAUGCGUUGAUGCGCCAUGACUUUCCCUAAAGCCUGGUUUGUUUUUUCUCUCUAUCUCUCCGGAAUCAGCGGUGCACAAUCUUUUCUUACUUUGCCCCACUUCGGUUUACAGUGGAAUAGUGGGGAACACCUCAGAAAAGCUCCAACCCCACCAAAAGUUCUCUUUUCCUGUGGUUCCAAUUUCUCUAACCUAAAGACAUUAUCUAAAUGUUUGUGCUCUCUUUUUUUUUUCUUUUCUUUUCUUUUUCUGUAUUUAGUAUGUUCAGAUUCGUGUGAUACGAUUCUUUAUUUACCUAUCAACUUAUAUUUGAACAAAUUCUUUUUUUUUUUUUUUGAGAAUUAGGUAGCAAGCUACCUGCUUCAUUCAUUAAGCAAAAUGAAUUAGGCGAACAAGAUGGAAGCAGCUAGGCCUCCUAACCGAGCCGGCAAAAGAAGGAGAAACCAAAAAAAACCGAAAACAGCAAGUCCGUAAAAGGGGAAAAGUAAAAGAGUGCAAACGAAGGAAAACUAAAUAGAUAUGGGUAAAUACUGAAGGAAAAGAACUGCGCGUUGUAUCGCGGCUUCAGAGGACUUUGUUCCAAUUUGUGAUCAGGGCCAUGACACGUUCAAGAGCCCGGUAGGCGUUGGGAGACCCGUCGCGGAAGAUGAUCUUGUUUCGCUCCGUCCAAAUGACCCAUCAGAUUGCCGCCAAUUGGGUAAGAUUUUUCGAUCUCAUUACGGCGUUGGGGUUGUUUGAGAUCCGUGUCCAUAAACGACGAACAUCCCCGGCGUCCGAAUCGGCCGCCACUGAAACUCCGACCUCAAUUUGGAGGUAUCUGACGAAGAUACAUUCACUAAACAAGUGGUCGCAAGAUUCAGAUAGUAACACACAGAACAUGCAAUGCUGAUCCACAGGACUCCCUCGGCGAAUCAGUCUAUCCGUUGUAAGUAAUCUCUUAUGCAAUAGGAUCCAAAUGAAAAUUUUUUGCUUGAGCGGAAUUAUUAACCCCCAAAGAUGAUCGUACAGAGGAUCAAUUUGACCUGCGUUGGUGAUGAAAUCAUAAAGGGAUUUAACGGUAAAAAUUUGAUCAGCAGUCCAUCUCCACAAUAGCUUAUCCUCUCUAGCCAAUGGGCAAUACUGAGUGAGCAGGUUUUUGAGCAGCGCUAAACUUUGGCGGUUCAGGGGAGUGGUAUUAGUAGUGAGACCUCUGGUUAUGAAACGCCAUCUCCACCCUCUAUCAUUCCAGCAUUGUGCGACUGUGGCGUCCUGAUUCGCUAUCCUGCAAAACAAUCCAGAAAAUCGGGUACUGAGAGGGGUUUCUUCAAUCCAAAUAUCCGUCCACCACCUGAUGUUUUUUCCAUCGCCAAGCACAUACGAGACUCCACACUUGAACACGUCUCGGCAGCUCAUCACGCUUCUCCACCAUUGGGAAUAAGGUCUGAAGGAUCUUCCCUCAUGUAACGGCCUUCUUCUAGUGUAAUACAAGACUUUGAUCAGUCUCCCCCAUAACAUGUGUCUUUCAUUGAAAUACCGCCACCACUAUUUGGUUAACAGUGCCUUAUUCAUUGCUCCCAUAUCUUUGAUCCCCAGGCCCCCUUCUCUUUUGCUUUUACAUAUUGUUUUCCAACCAACGAGACAUGACCCACCAGAAAUUUUGAAGCACCCUUUCCAAAAGAAGGAUCUUCUAAGAGCUUCAAUGCGGUUCAGAACCCAUUGUGGCACUUUGAAGAUUGCGAAGUAGAAUAACGGGAGGUUCGAAAGUUGAACAAAUUCUUUAUCGCAGCAAGUCAAUAUUUAUAAAUAACUUAAAAAUAUACAAUAAGAUAUUAUUCUUAUAAACUAUUUACGAAUUAUCAAACACAUAUGACACAUUGAAUUGCAUGAAUAAUCUAACUAAAAAUCUUCAAACUUUGCGUGCAUAUAAGUGCAUCAAUUUUUUUCAAAAAAUAAUAUAUUUAGAGUAAAUUUUACUAUCCUCAAAAUAAAGAGAUUCAAAUUGUAACUAAAUGUAAUAUAUUUUAUUUUAACACCAUAAAAAAAAAGCCUCAAUAUAUCAAUUUUUAUUUUGAAAACCUGUAACAUCCUCGCUACUAUAUAAUUUGCUAUGACAUGUGUAAAAAGCAAUAGAUAUGAUAUAUCCUUCCCUAAAAAGCAGUUUAUACAAGUACAAAAGAAAAGGACCACAAUGGAUCAAUUGGGAGUAAACACAUAUUUAUAUUAUGUACGGAGCCGUAUGGGUCCUUUAGCCCGUCAAAAUCGACUAGAAAACAAAGAAUUUUCUAGAGAUUCAUCGCAUGACAAGAUAAUUUUUUUUUUGUAUUUGCUUUAUGAGUCUGCGUCACCAAUCCAUUACAUGCUGUAGUGUUGGAAUUGGAAAUGAAGGUCACUUGUCUCCCUAAUGCUUUAGUCACUAAGUUGUACGGUGCCGUAUAAUUAAGAAUGUUAUUAAUUUUGUAUAUUUUUUCUGAGGAAAUUAUUAUUAUUAUUAUUUUCCCCUAUGUUGCUUUGGUGACAUAAGGUGUUAGGUAGUCGUGGUGAUAUUGGUUUGCAUUUUUAUUCAGAAUGCAUGACAGCAUGUGAUUCCGAAUAAGUAUUCUCAAAAAAGAAAGGGGAAUAAGUUAUUAUUCUUUUUUUUUUAUUUCUAAACAUAAAUUUUUAUAUGUGAAAACAAUAAUUUUUGAUUUUUUUAUAUUCUUGAAUACUCUGAAAUAAACUAGUAUAAUUCGGUAUAAAUUUAAAACUGUUGUUUCACCCUUUUUUUUAAAAAAAUAAGCUUGUUCUAAAAUGAGAAUAAUGUUAAUUAAAAUCUAAAUCUCAUUUUAAUUAUGAUUAUAAUGUUAAAUUAUUAAUUAAUCUAAUUAAUAUAUUUAAAAUAUUAUCCAUUGCUUAAAUAAUAAAAUAAAUAAAUAAAUAAUUAAUUAUUUAUAAUUAACUAGCUAAUUAAUUAUUAAUUGUUAAAUGUAUUUAUUUAUACUUAAACUAAUAUUUAUAAUAUUGAUCAACUAUUAAUAUUUUUAUUAAUCUAAUUAAUUUUUUUUACUAGUUAUCUAACUAAAAUAAUUUACUAACUAGUUAAAAGUUAAAUUAUUUUUUAUAUUUAAUAAAUUAAUUAUUAUGUUUUAUUAUCUUAUAUAAUAUUCAUAGCUAAUAAAUUUAUUAAUUUUAUUAAAUUAUUUUUAAUUAAUAGUUUGAUGUUAAUUAAUUAGAUAAAAUAUUUUUAAUUUAAAAUUAUAACUCUUAUUCCUUAUGCUCUAAUCUACACAUUCAAAUAUUAUUUACCUUAUUUUUAGGAAUAACCUAAUUUUCUUCCAAACGCAAAAUUAUUCUAAUUCAUGUUUAUAUCUGAACUUGUAUUUAUCUCUAAAAUAAGUAAUUCUUACUUAUAUCCGAAACAAACGUAGCCUAAAAGUUUUGACCAAUUGAAACUUGAUGCUUAUAAUAGGUGCUUUUGCAUCACAAAUUUGUAAGAUUUGUUGGGAAAUGUGAAUACAAACUUAUGAUUUUUGAAAAAAACAUGAAGAAAUGACGCCUUAGAAGAAGCCUUCACAUCUUAAUAGAUGGACUUACAUUUUUAUUUGGAAAUAUAUUGGAUCAGAAUCCAUUUUUGGAAAAUAUUUUUAGUAUAAUAUCUUUGACAAUGUCUAAAAAUUAGUUUUCUAAUCGAUUGAGUGGUAAAUAAUUAAUUUGACUCAUUCACAAACAAACUAUCUCUUUUAAAAGAAAAAUGGCCAGUUUUCUACUUUAUUCAUUUACUUUAAUGAACUCCACUAUAUAAAAGAGGCAACAGAGCCUUAGUUAAUAAAAAAAAGGGAAAAAAAAUCCUCUGCAAUUUUUCAAGAUUGUGAUCCACUGUCUCUGGUUCAUUCUCACAUAUUAUACAUAACUGAUCUCCCAUGGCCCCUCUCUUUUGUAGGUCGUCACCUAUCCGAACUUUUGAAUAUUUAAAACUUUUAUUAUGCAAGAAGAUAUUAAUUUUUUCUAGUUGAAUUGAAGCGUGACAUCAAAUUGGUUAAUUUUCGGCAUUAUAUAUAUAGAUAUCACAUUUGUCACAAUAAGUAUAUUAAGAUAUGGAUUAUCCUAAUUAGGAAUAUAAAGAAAAACAUAAAGAAAUGAAAGAUACUUUUAGGAGCACAGUGCUAGACAAGUUUGCAAAUAAAGCUAUUGCAAGGGAAUUUAUUUAUCUAUAAUAACUUCUUUCAUGAAUCCACAAAAAAAUAAUUUCUUUAACAUACAAAAGUUUCAUAAGUAUCAUUUAUGUGCACAACUCCAGUGUACGUACCCACAUUAAUUAUACAUGCGGUAUUUUCUAUUUCCAGACAUUUAGUCGUUUAGUCGGUGGUUCCUCCAUAAUACUAAUAAUUAAAUUAAUAGUGCUCCUUUUUUAUAGGAAAAGUAAGUUCUCAAACUAUAUAGCUUCUUUUAUUAGUCCUUAGUCCUCAACAUUAAUAGCCACUUGAGCCGGUUUUUCCCCAACGUCCACCGGUUUAACGGUGGACCGGCGGGCCGGUUCGGUUNAACUAUAUAGCUUCUUUUAUUAGUCCUUAGUCCUCAACAUUAAUAGCCACUUGAGCCGGUUUUUCCCCAACGUCCACCGGUUUAACGGUGGACCGGCGAGCCGCGCCAGCUCCUCGACCGAACCGGCGAUUCCGGCCGUGCGCAACACCAACUCGGCGAGGAGGGACGAAAUCAUCGCCAGGUGGACGAUCUCGGACAGGGCCACGUCCUCCGACAGAGCGCUCCGUAGAUUCGCCGCCGCCUCUAGGGAUGCUGCCACGUGGCGAUUAGCGGAGGCCGGCGCUGUCAUGGUACGGAUCGCCGAGGAGAGCUCCCGCAGCGCCUUGGCGGAUUCGGAGCUCAUCUCCGCACACGCUGCUCGGAUCUGCAAGCGGAGCUCCACAUCCGUUGCUGUCGCCUGCAAAUAUUUGAAAAGUAUAUAUAUUAUUUAUAUACAAGAAUAAAAUAUGCAUAUUAUCGGGUCGGAUCGGGUAAUUGGGUCGAUUCGUAAUACGAAUCGAAUCAACUAAUGUGGUUCGGAUUUGGGUUAGGUUUGUGGAAUACCUGUGAUUUUGGAAAGGUGGUGAUGUAGGAGGAAAGUGUGUCCAUGGCAGAAGCGCAUUGACGAGAGAGAGCUCCGAGCUUUUGGUAUUGCUUCCACGGGUGACGGAAUCCGAAUUGCCCAUGACCAGGCUCCCACUUUGCAAAAUUAAACUGCAUAUUCAAAAUAAACAAAAAAGAAAGAUAACAAUUUAUUACACAGUAAAGCUAGAUGCCUUAAAAAAUGUAUGUUUUGCUACGGUAAAAAGAAGCAUGAUCAAUGCUAACUUAAACUUCGUACUUUAAAGCUACUCAAAGCAACUUCCUCUUGGAAGAGAUGUUGAAGAAAUAGUUAUGUUCAAAUAACAAAUUUGCUAAAAGCAUUAGAACGUGUAAAAUUGACUAGUGUUUGAGCGCGAGAUUACCAAAGAAUCCUCGCUGGGCUUCGAAUUGAGGACGCUUUUGUAAACUUGGAAGAAGGAUUUGGACUCCAAAUUUUCGCACCUAGCCUUUUCUCCGAAGCAUUCUGCUUCCAAUCCUGCAACCAAUGCAUAUAUCACUGUAAAUUAGCUCCUACAAUAAACUGUAGAACGGGAAAUGCAAGGAAAUUAAUUAAUUAAAUGAAGCCUUUUCCAUGUACUUACUAUAUAUAUAUAUAUACACGCGGACACACAAUGUGAUUUAAUAUGGCAAUCUCAUCUCACUAUAGUAAUUUGUACAGCGAUCAUAUAUAUGCUUCUUGAAUCAAAAUUAACCAAUCCAUGUUGUAGGUCAUGGCCCAUGAAGUUACUUCAUUGGACCCAUCAAAUUAUACAUAGAUGCAGUUAGAAUCAGUACUCCUCAUUUUAACCUACCAUAAUAAACCGCGCGUGACACGUUGAUCGAAUGUUCCAAAGCAUAAAUGGGGGUUGAUGAGGCGACCACCUCAUGAUAUCUAGCUUUGAAAAUAUUUGAAGUGCCUGUCUUUGUAAAUUUUCUUUUUUUAUGUAAAGUUAGAUAUAAUGGAGUUAUCCAUUAGGAUAAGGGUCGUUAUCUUGCUCUCACCUUAAUAGGCAAGGAUAUAUACUUGGUCCGUAUCCUCUUUUAAUCAGUGAAAGAUCCCCCCAGUUCCCCUCUCUACUUUAUAGUGGCUUUAUUGCACUCGAAUAAUACUCUUGAGUAUAUUAUUCAACCGGAGAAUCCUUUUGAUUGAAACAAGGUCCUAAGUGAUAAAGUGAACACGAUGAGGUUCGUAUAUGUACCGUGCAUAUGGAGAGCACAGAUGCAACAGUAGUUUGUAGUUUUUUGGUUAUGACGUACGUUGCGAUCGAUAUUCCGGCUGAGGUGCUUAUAAUAGCAUCAUACACAUGGUGCUACUAAAUUUUUCGCUACUUUAUUUAUUUUUUUAACUAUUUUUAUCUUUUAGAUCAUAUAAUUAUUAAACCAACCAUCUUCUCAAUUCUAGAGGACCGCUAUCAUCGUUAUCACGCAUCCUUUUAUCUAAGAGUCGAAAAUCUAAUAGCACCAAUGACUGGUGCUCGUAAUAAUAUAAUAGCCUAGCUACUUUUAUAUAUAUAUAUAUAUAUAUAGAGGGAGAGAGAGAAAGAGUUCAGCUACUAUACUAUCGAUAGUACUAAGUUUUUGAUAUUAUUGAGUUUUUUGCUGUUAGAUUUACCUUCUGAUCAUUUUCAUCCGUUAGAUUAUACUAUUUAACUAACCACCCACUCAAUUCUAGAAAAUCAUUAUCAUUCUCACCGCACAUUCUUAAUUUCAUUCUCAACAGCUAAAAAUUUGAUAGCACCAGACGCUUGAUACUAUCAAUAGUGUAGUAGUGUGAUUCUAUGUACAUAUAUAUAUUUGCCAAUUGUUUGAAUGCAACCAGGAGCCCACUAAUCAAAAACCAUGAUUCGAAUCAGACCCAACUAAUUGCCUUCCUAGCGUGCCAAUAAGAAUAAUAUAAGUGAAAUUUGAAAUUAAAACGUUGCAGGGGGCCAGAGUCACAGGACAAACCCCACUAACUAAUAAAUCUUAUCAUCAUACGGGCCCACAUACAAUAAUAUAUAGGUGUUCAUCAGCUGUAAUACUGUGCACCAAAAUUAUAAUUUUACGCACGAGAUGAUUCCGCCGAUUGACUAGAAAAUAUAUGUGAGCACUGUGACAUAAUUCCUUGCUGAUGAGUGACAGAAUUAUUCCAAAGGCAACAUAUAGAGAUACCGCAUAAAGUAACAGAUCAAUUCAAAAUUCGCAUCUUUUCUAGCCUUACCUUCGAGGAAGGUGGCAAGCUUGUCCAAGUUGUUUGCCACUUGCUUAUGGAGAUCCUCUCCGGCCCACACAGGGAACACGAAAACUGUGGUGCCGAGACAUGUGGCGACGCCGAUGGCGAUGGUCGAAACCCUCUGAUGCGCCAUUUGUAUCAAUUCCUCAACUCGGUAGCUCGACACGGCCACGAGACUAAACGUGAGUAUAAAUAUCGUCACGCCGUAAUCGUAUCGUGCCUUUAUCUCGGGUAUGAAUCGUGAGAAUGUAGCCCCCGCAGCUGUACCAAUUUAAUUGCCGUGUUAAGCAUUUUGAAUUGGUUUAUGUACGUAUAGUUGUGGUAUAUAUGCAGGCGUUUGUAUAUAUGUUGAAUGAGAUUAUACGUACCUAUGGUGAAGACGAAGAGGCCAAGGAGUAUGGGCUCGCCUUUGUCGCCGCAGAGAACGGCGAUUUGAUGAGCGCCGACGCCGAGUGAGCCCGCGAGUAGGGUGGCGAAUGCUCUGUUUAGCCCCUUGCUUAGUGUUCCACCUGAGGAGCAAAACAUAUCUACUUAGUAGUGUUAUAUAAUUUGGAUUCUACUAACUAUUGCACGAGAUAUGCAUAGUGCGUCUUUUUAAUGGAGAAGUAUAAAUUUAACGAAGGGUUUAAGGGUAUAUUUGGCCAAUCAAAUGCGCAAUAUUAUUUGAUUAAGUUUUUAAAGCAACACCAGUAUUUUUCACAAAUUUCUUUUAGGAAUCUCUCACUAUAUUAUAUAUAUAGUCAAAUGCAGUAGUAAAAAAUUUGGAAAAUAUUUUUAGGAUCUACAAGCUCAUUAAAUUUUGAUAUAUUUAUUUGCCAAAUAUGCAUGUGGCUUGAAAAACUUUUAAUUUGAAAAGAAAAAAAAGCUCGAGAAGUUGCUAAUCUUAUAUCAAAGAUUAAAUAGGAUUUGUAGAAGUUCUCUACAACAUAUAACUAAAAUAAGCUUUUAAGGACCAAAAGAUUUACUAAAAAAUUUUUACUAGAAAUAUAUUUUACCUGUACUUUCUCAAACAACUUUAGUAAAUAGUAUAUAUGGAGCGACGAAAUGAAUUAAUUACAACGGAUAUUCUGGAAUGAUAGAAAUCCGUAUAACGUACGUACCGACGGUGUAUUCCAUGACAACAACGACGGUGAGCACGGCCCACAUGGUCGACACUCCUAAGCCUUCGUAGAGCGGCGUCACAUAGUAGAAGAUCGACACGAUCGUGAGCGCCAAACCAACUUUAAAACAGUGCGCUACCCUCCUCGGAUCGUCCUUCACGAUCUUCUUUACCUUCUUCGACAACCCCACCGCCAUCUCCUUCAUCCUCUCAACCAAAGAGCUCAACCCUGACCACCAUGGAGAGAAACCAAUCUUAUGCGCACUAGUGUUGCUUCCAACUUCAACUUCCAUUGGUGUUGUAUAUAUACUUGGUUUGAUUCUGGGUUUUGAAGGUGAUGAUGGCAUGUGAGGGAAAUGGGCUACGAAGGAAGGAGGACUUAUAUAAGCGAAGAAGCAGGUGGAGACAAGUGCUUUCGGAAUAGAAUAUAAGAAUAUAGACAAAAUUAACAAACAUGGACAACUUUUCCGCCUUGGCCAGGUGACGGGAGAAGUUUCCUUUGGAAUUGAAGGGGCUUGUACAGUUGUAUGUUGGCUUGGCUAUGAGGAACUAUGACAUUUACUUUUGAGAUAAUUGUAUACGGCUCUUUAUAAACAUAUAUCAACUAAUAAGUACAUUUUUAUAAAAUUUAAAUUAUCAGAUUUAUUUUUUCUAAAAAUUCUUUCGUCUGUAAAUAUAUUUUUCUGUUAAUAAAAUUUAAAUAAUUGUAAAUUAAAAAAACUAACCAAGGAUAAAAUAACUUUUUUGUCCUUUAUAUAUAUAUAAUUUGUAUUUUAAUAAUAUUGAGUCCCGUCAUCUUCCUCAUCCUUUAUUUUUUAUUCAUGGUGACAGUAAGACCUACGAUGGUGGCGACUGUUGGGAAUCCGGUACUCUCCCCGGUAUCGGAUCUCGUGAAUCCGCAACCCGCUCCGAUACUGACUGCUGUGGUUCUGGUAUCGAUUGUUGGGAUUUCGCAACAGAAACGUCGAAUCGGGUUUUUCCACGUGCCCCAGCAAAAUCAAAAAAAGCGAGAGAAAAAAAGGCAGCUUUUUAUAAUUAAGAAUAAAUUUAUAAGGACAAAAUAGUCAUUUUAUGCACAUACUAUUAAAAAACUAACGGUGAAUCCAACGAUAAAGAUAUAUAUGAACAAACCAAAACUUUUAGAGAAAUAUAUUUUUAAAUUAGAAAAUUUUUAAAAAGAUAAAUUUAAUAACUUAAGUUUAUAGGAAUAUACUUGCUAUUUGAUGCCUCUGCAGGAACGUGUAUGAAAAUAACCCUCUACUUUUUUGUGAGAGUAAAAUAUAUAAUUAGGAAAAGAGGGUAGAGGGAGGAGCAUGAAUAUAUAAUGGGAAACAACUUUCAAUUGUUGAACUUUUGAGCUAGUAAGAAGCACGAAGUUUAAUUUGUUCAGAGUGAAAGUGGAGACAAGGUGCAAUGAAUUUGGAAUCAGGUUGAUUAUUCAAACGACAUUAAUGAAUUUGACCUCUUGUUGAGUUUUUUUUUUUUUUUUUUCUAAAUCUCCCUUGAGAAAAAAAAUAUGAGAGGUAGAUGGUGGAGCAAAUUAAUGAUCACAAACCGAGAAAGAGAUAGAGAGAGCAUGUUCUGUGGAUUUAAAAGAAAAAUUGGAACAGAAUUAAUUUUUCCUGCAGCUACAGAUUUCAAGCUGAUAACAUUAUCAAACUUUUUUUUUUUUUGUUUUUGGAGAGGGAGAGACCAUAACUAACAUAUGCUGAUUCUCAUGAUCGGUAAUCAACACUAUCAUCCAAGAGUUUAAUAGAAAAAAGAAAUGCUAAGUCUAACAGUUUAAGAAUAAUCUUUAACGUCCUUUUCCACGUGUACAUCAGAGAUCAGAUCGACUAAACGUACAUGGAAUUGGAAAGAAUGAUCAUGGGCAAAGAUUAUAAUUCAUCAAUUAUUAUGGGUCUGUUUGGCCUAACUUCUGAAAAAAUGAUUUUAGUUUGGAAAAGUGAUUUUGCUUAAAAGCUAUAGAGCGUUUGGCGGAAUUUAGAUAAAAGUGAUUUUUCUGAAGUGAUUUUAAAAAGCUGUUUGGCAAAUUAAAAAUUUUGAAAAGCUGUUUGAAAAGCAAUUUAAUUUUAAAAAUAUAUUUAAAUUUUAAACUUUAAAAUUUAAAUUUAAAAUUUAAAAUAAUUAUGAAAUUUAAAAUAUAAAAUUUAAAAUUUGAAUAUUUAAAAUAUAAAAUUAAAAAUUUGAAUAUUUAAAAUUAAAAAUUAAAAAUUUGAAUAUUUAAAAUUUAAAAAUUAAAAUUUUAAAUUUUAAAUUAUAAAAUUUGAAAUUUAUAAUUUGAAGAUUAAAAUUUAUAAAUUUUUAAUUUUAAAAAUUUGAAAUUUAUAAUUUGAAGAUUAAAAUUUAUAAUUUAUAAUUUAAAAAUUUUAAAUUUUUACAUUUAAAUUUUAAAAUCUAAAUUGUCAAAUUUGAAAUUUGAAAUUUGAAAUUAAAAUUUUAAAUUUAAAAUUUAAAAUUUGAAAUUUGAAAUUUAAAAUUUUAAAAUCUGAAAUUUGAAAUUUGAAAUUUGAAAUUUUAAAAUCUGAAAUUUGAAAUUUGAAAUUUGAAAUUUGAAAUAAAAUUUGAAAUUUUAAAAUCUAAAAUUUGAGAUUUGAAAUUUAAAAUUAAAAUUUAAAAUUUAAAAUCUAUAUUUCAAAUUUUAAAAUUUAAAAUUUAAAAUUUAAAAAUUUUAAAAUGAAUCUGAAAAUUAAAAUUUAAAAUUUAAAAUUAAAAUUAAAUUUAAAUAUUAAAACUAAAAUAAAAAUAAAAUUUUGAAGUUUAAAUCCAAAAUCAGAAUCAGUUUUCAAGAAGCAGCUUUUUUCUACUUCUGAUUCUGAGACCUUCAAAAUCAGUUUUCUGAUUCUAAAAAGAAGAAUCAGAUUUUAAAAGUGAGUUGCCAAACGCUCUAUUGAGCCGAAAAUCACUUUUCAGCCAAAAAGCGCUUUUUAAAAGUUAGGCCAAACACCCCCUAUAUAUGGUAAAUCAAUCAAAUCCACAACCUAAUCAAAGUGAACUGCAUGCUGCUUAGGCAUGUCAUUAAUAUUGUUAAAUCAUACGAAAAAAUCGUUAUUCUUGACAGAGAACGGUGUUUAAAUAUUUUUAUA